UGACCUCUGACCUCAAAUCAGGUAGGACUACCCGCUGAACUUAAGCAUAUCAAUAAG
rnacentral:rRNA from 2 species